UACGGGGGGGGGCAAGCGUUGUUCGGAAUUACUGGGCGUAAAGGGCCAGUAGGCGGCCAACUAAGUCGGAUGUGAAAUCCCCAGGCUCAACUUGGGAACUGCAUCCGAUACUGGAUGGCUUGAAUUCGGGAGAGGGAUGCAGAAUUCCAGGUGUAGCGGUGAAAUGCGUAGAUAUCUGGAGGAAUACCGGUGGCGAAGGCGGCAUCCUGGACCGACAUUGACGCUGAACGGCGAAAAGCUAGGGGGAGCAAAACAGG
rnacentral:rRNA from 1 species